AAGAGUCUCAUUCUGCUCUGCCCCUGUCUUUUGGAGUCUCAUUCUGCUCAUGGCCCACAUGAGCUAAUGGCUGUGCCACUGUUUUCCUAAAGUGUCAAGUGUGGGAUUACAGUUAUUAAUGUGUCUCCUUGGAGAGAGGACACGGGAGAGGGGUGGUGCAGCAAAGGGCAAAUGCGCGAUGGGAGCAAGCCCCUGCCAGGCCGUGGAUAAUUUGGAAGAAGGGCCCUGCUCCCUAAAGACUUUGCAACACUGCCCCCUGGGGGCUGGAGAGGAAGCCUGUGCCCUGACUUUUCCUCUGAGGCUUCAGUCAGGGAGGGGACCUUGAAGGACCACUGUCCAGAGGCUGAACUGGGUGGGCCAGAAGAAACCCAGCUAGGGCAGUCAUUGCCUGCCCGCGUUCCCCACCUGUCCAUUCCACUUCACGAGCCUCUCAAAUCUGCAGCCCUGUCCUGGCCUAGCCCACCACUGCUCUUGUCUGGGCCAUGCCCCGGCCUCUUUCCUACCUCCAGUUUCACACCAGCCCAUCUUCUUGCAAGCCAGAGGGAACUUUCUGACCCUUAAAUCCUACCAUGCCCCUUUCUGUGUAAAACCCUGACCCAGCUCUCAGUAACCCCAGGAGAGACCAUCCUUCUCAGCCUGACACUGAGUGGCCCCUGUCUCUCUGUCCAAUCACAUCUUCUGCAGGGCAGGAAGCAGAACACAAGCAGCUGCUUCUCAGCUGGGCGGGGCCUCCGCAGUGGCUCACAUAAGAACCACGUGGCAAGGUGGAUUCUCUCUGGUGUCUGGACCAGGGUAGGACACCCUAACUUGCCUGUGUGCCAGCUCUCUCAGGAGGGGCUGGAGCAGGCUAACUUGCUUCCAUCAGUGUUGCUUAUUCAGAGCACAACAGUUUGCGUUUUGCUUGAUUCUCUCCUUUUCACAUCAUGCUCCCAACACAUCAUCCGCCCCCCACAUUCUGUGCACACACUUCCAAGAUUCACUCACUCCAACUGUUCCUGGCAUGCGCGUCUAAAAUCAUCUCACCUUCCAAGUGG
rnacentral:lncRNA from 1 species